rnacentral:rRNA from 1 species
UACAGAGGGUGCGAGCGUUAAUCGGAAUUACUGGGCGUAAAGCGUGCGUAGACGGUUAUGUAAGUUAGGUGUGAAAGCCCCGGGCUCAACCUGGGAAUUGCAUUUAAGACUGCAUAGCUAGGGUGCGGAAGAGGGAAGCGGAAUUUCCGGUGUAACGGUGAAAUGCGUAGAUAUCGGAAGGAACAUCAGUGGCGAAAGCGGCUUCCUGGUCCAGCACCGACGUUCAGGCACGAAAGCGUGGGGAGCAAACAGG